UGAAAAUGUUAUAAUGUCCAUUUGUUACAAUAUUCUUUAUGUUUUUUUUACUCGACCGUUAAGGAUUAAUCUAAACUAAUUAGCAACCUCUUACUUCGAUUUUAUAGGAUAAUUUUCAAUUGUAUGUUAGUAAGGAAUCAAAUGCUGAAAAGUUCAUUUUUAAUAUAUACUACUAAAAUAAAAAUACCAAAGUCCUUGCAACUCUCAUUGGAUCGUUAGCAAAGCCUAUAUUUGAACUG
rnacentral:sRNA from 1 species